rnacentral:rRNA from 1 species
UUGCUCCCCCACGCUUUCGCACCUCAGUGUCAGUAUCAGUCCAGGUGGUCGCCUUCGCCACUGGUGUUCCUUCCUAUAUCUACGCAUUUCACCGCUACACAGGAAAUUCCACCACCCUCUACCGUACUCUAGCUCAGUAGUUUUGGAUGCAGUUCCCAGGUUGAGCCCGGGGAUUUCACAUCCAACUUGCUGAACCACCUACGCGCGCUUUACGCCCAGUAAUUCCGAUUAACGCUUGCACCCUUCGUAUUACCGCGGCUGCUGGCACGAAGUUAGCCGGUGCUUAUUCUGUUGGUAACGUCAAAACAGCAAGGUAUUAACUUACCGCCCUUCCUCCCAACUUAAAGUGCUUUACAAUCCGAAGACCUUCUUCACACACGCGGCAUGGCUGGAUCAGGCUUUCGCCCAUUGUCCAAUAUUCCCCACUGCUGCCUCCCGUAGGAGUCUGGACCGUGUCUCAGUUCCAGUGUGACUGAUCAUCCUCUCAGACCAGUUACGGAUCGUCGCCUUGGUAGGCCUUUACCCCACCAACUAGCUAAUCCGACCUAGGCUCAUCUGAUAGCGUGAGGUCCGAAGAUCCCCCACUUUCUCCCUCAGGACGUAUGCGGUAUUAGCGCCCGUUUCCGGACGUUAUCCCCCACUACCAGGCAGAUUCCUAGGCAUUACUCACCCGUCCGCCGCUGAAUCCAGGAGCAAGCUCCCUUCAUCCGCUCGACUUGCAUGUGUUAGGCCUGCCGCCAGCGUUCAAUCUGAGCCAGGAUCAAACCCUG